UCCCUCUGGUGCCCACAGCUAUGAAGGCAGUAUUGGCUGGCACAUGGCAUCUCUUCAGGACUCAAGAGUCACUACAGCUUCCAGAUGUGUGUUCUUGGACGAGUCCAUCCCUCAAAGCCUCAGUUUCCUUAUCUACACGAUGGAGACUUUAAAAGCUGUUCCCUCCAGGAAUGACAAGGAUUCUGAAAGGUGAUGCCCAUGAAGAGCCUGGCAUGUGCCUUGGCAUGUAAGUGUUACCUUCUCUUUGGGAGGAGGAAGGUAAUGAUAAUGGUGGUGGUGGUGCUGGGACAAUUGGGUUCU
rnacentral:lncRNA from 1 species